rnacentral:rRNA from 1 species
ACGCUCGACACCUACGGGAGGGCAGCAGUGGGGAAUAUUGCACAAUGGGGGAAACCCUGAUGCAGCAACGCCGCGUGAAGGAAGACGGUUUUCGGAUUGUAAACUUCUGUUCUUAGUGAAGAUAGUGACGGUAGCUAAGGAGCAAGCCACGGCUAACUACGUGCCAGUAGCCGCGGUAAUACUGAGCGGGCGUGGCGAAGGCG